rnacentral:lncRNA from 1 species
AAGGAAGAUAAAUGAAAUAAAAGGUAGAAAUAGAAAUAAAUAAAAGAAUAAAUUUACACAUAAAUAUUUUACUAGUUACAUUAAAUGUUUUUCUUGUUUUUGUUGAGAUGGGGUCUUGCUCUGUUGCCCAGGCUGGUUUCAAAGUCAUGGGUCCAAGGGCUUUUCUUGCCUCAGCUGUCCAAGUAGCUGGAUUUCAGACAUAUACACCAUGCACAGCUUUAAUUACAUUAAGUGUUAAUGGAUUAUCAAUUAAAAGACCAAAAUUUCUUUUGGAUAUAAAAGCAGACUCUAUAUGUUGUUUAGAGGAGAUUCAACUUAAAUAUGAGGACACAAAGUCAUCAAGAAAAAGAAUGGAAAAAAAUAAGCCACAUAAAGCAAAAGAAAUUAAUAGCAGACAACAUAGACAUUGAGGCAAGAAAUAUUUCUAGAGAUAAAGAGGGAAUCUCAUAAGGAUACAGGAUCAAUUAACAGUAAAAUCAAACAAUCUAAAUUUGCAUGCAACUAAAAUCUUAUAAUAUGUAAAUAAUUUAUAAAAAAUAGCAUAAUUUGAAUAUACAUUAGGCAAAGUGAACAAACUAGGAAAUUUUGAUAAAUCCCCAGUCAUGAUUGGAAAUUUUAGCACUCUUUCAAUAUCUGUGGAACAAAUGAUAAAUAAUCAGUAAAGAUGAAGAAGAUUUGAACAAGGCAGUUGACCCAAUUGAAAUAUAUAGAAUACUAUACUCAACUGCAAAAUAUACAUUGUUUUCAGUAGCACAUGAACACUUGUCAAAAUAGACCAUAUGCUAAGCCAAAAAACAAGUCUCACAAAUUUGAAAUCAUACAAAGUAUGCUCUCUGGCUGUAAUGGAACCAAACUAGAGAUGAAUAAGAAAAAAGAAAACCAGAAAACUCCCAUAAAAUGUUUGGAAAUUGGGGGGCUGUGGCUGUGGCUCAGUGGUAGAGCACUUGCUUACCAUGUGUGAGGCAAUGGGUUCGAUCCUCAGCACCGCAUAUAUAUAAAUAAAUACAAUAAAGAUCUAUCAGUAACUAAUAAAAAUAUGUAUUUAAAAAUGUUUGGAAAUUGGGCUGGGGCUGUAGCUCAGUGGCAGAGCACUUGCCUAGCAUGCGUGAGGCAAUGGGUUCAAUCCUCAGCACCACAUAAAAAUAAACAAAUAAAAU